AUACGGAGGGUGCAAGCGUUAAUCGGAAUUACAGGGCGUAAAGCGUACGUAGGCGGUUAGUUAAGUUAGAUGUGAAAGCCCCGGGCUUAACCUGGGAACUGCAUUUAAAACUGGCUAACUAGAGUUAAGUAGAGGGGAGUGGAAUUUCAGGUGUAGCGGUGAAAUGCGUAGAGAUCUGAAGGAACACCAGUGGCGAAGGCGACUCCCUGGACUUGAACUGACGCUGAGGUACGAAAGCGUGGGUAGCAAACGGGAUUAGAAACCCCAGUAGUCC
rnacentral:rRNA from 1 species